rnacentral:rRNA from 1 species
CGGCUCACCAAGUCGACGAUCAGUAGCCGGACUGAGAGGUUGAACGGCCACAUUGGGACUGAGACACGGCCCAGACUCCUACGGGAGGCAGCAGUGGGGGAUAUUGCACAAUGGAGGAAACUCUGAUGCAGCGACGCCGCGUGAGGGAAGACGGUCUUCGGAUUGUAAACCUCUGUCUUUAGGGACGAAAAAAUGACGGUACCUAAGGAGGAAGCCACGGCUAACUAC